rnacentral:lncRNA from 1 species
GGCAGGCAGUGAGGCAGCCAGCGCAGGGGCUUCUGCUGAGGGCGCAGGCGGAGCUUGAGGAAACCGCAGAUAAGUUUUUUUCACUUUGAAAGAUAGAGAUUAAUACAACUACUUAAAAAAUAUAGUCAAUAGGUUACUAAGAUAUUGCUUAGCGUUAAGCUUUUAACGUAAUUUUAAUAGCUUAAGAUUUUAAGAGAAAAUAUGAAGACUUAGAAGAGUAGCAUGACGAAGGAAAAGAUAAAAGAUUUCUAAAACAUGACGGAGGUUGAGAUGAAGCUUCUUCAUGGAGUAAAAAAUGUAUUUAAAAGAAAAUUGAGAGAAAGGACUACAGAGCCCUGAAUUAAUACCAAUAGAAGGGCAAUGCUUUUAGAUUAAAAUGAAGGUGACUUAAACAGCUUAAAGUUUACUUUAAAAGUUGUAGGUUUCUCUUUUUCAGGCUUAUACUCAUGAAUCUUGUCUGAAGCUUUUGAGGGCAGACUG